GCUCCAGUAGCUCAGUUGGAUAGAGCAGCGCACUCCUAACGCGCAGGUCACAGGUUCGAAUCCUGUCUGGGGCAC
rnacentral:tRNA from 1 species